CCCUUAGAUGUUCUGGGCCGCACGCGUGCUACACUGAGUGGAUCAGCGGGUCAGGUUGCGCGAAAGCGUUUCCUAAUCUUUAAAUCCGCUCGUGAUGGGGAUUGACGGUUGCAAUUUUCUGUCAUGAACGAGGAAUACCUUGUAAGCGCGGGUCAUCAUCCCGCGCUGAAUACGUCCCUGCCCUUUGUACACACCGCCCGUCGCUACUACCGAUUGGAUGAUUUAGUGAGGCCCUCGGAUUGGUCCGGACUCGGGGGUUCCUCCCUUGGGUCCAGGUGCCGAGAAGACGGCCAAACUUGAUUAUCUAGAGGAAGUAAAAGUCGUAACA
rnacentral:rRNA from 1 species